UUAUGACGUUAUGAUGACGUCAUCACGUCACUGUUCAUCUUCUCCUCCAGCUGAGCACGGCCUGGUUCUGGAUAAGAAGAAAAAAAAAUUUUCCGCCCAAAAUUUCAUGCAUUUUUCGUCAAAAAUACAUAGAUUUCCAUCCUCAAACAUCAAUUCUUCAAUCCAAACCCAAAAAUUGCACAAAAAACCGCAUAAUAGCAAGAACCAAACAAGCCCUAAUUUUCGAAAUAUCAUCAAAUGAGCUCCAAAAAUCACAAAUUUUGAUGGGUUUUGCUCCAAACAACAUUCUCUAUAAGUUUCCAACAACAAUCGGGCUUGAAAACAGAGAAUCAACAUCAAACGAGAAAUAAAAUUUCAAAAAAAAAUGGCUUCCUCCACAGGAAACGGGAAACCCAAAAAUUAACCCAAAAUUGCAGCUCAAAUGUCAAUCAUGCAAGCUCUGAUACCAAUUGAUGAGAAUUUAAAUUGCAUAGGAUCACAUGUUGACAAUUAAGCAUGCAUUUAAUAGCAAAAUUCUUCCGUUACCUUGGUUCGUGCUUUGGGAAGCCAUUUCUGCUACCUUUGAUGUCCAAUAAUCUGCUUUCCGGGUGCGUGAUGCUCCGAGGAUGAACGAUCAAUGAGCUCUUCCCUUUAAUCCCCAAAAUUCAGUCCAAAGUGGAGUGUGUGCGUGUGUGGCCGGGAGUGUUCUUCAAAGAGAAGAAAAGAGAGAGUAGUACUCCUCCAAAAGCCCACACACCUCUAUAUAUAUAUAUAUAU
rnacentral:lncRNA from 1 species